rnacentral:rRNA from 1 species
GACGUAGGGUGCGAGCGUUGUCCGGAAUUAUUGGGCGUAAAGAGCUCGUAGGCGGUUUGUCGCGUCGGCCGUGAAAACUUGGGGCUUAACUCCAAGCUUGCGGUCGAUACGGGCAGACUUGAGUUCGGCAGGGGAGACUGGAAUUCCUGGUGUAGCGGUGAAAUGCGCAGAUAUCAGGAGGAACACCGGUGGCGAAGGCGGGUCUCUGGGCCGACACUGACGCUGAGGAGCGAAAGCGUGGGGAGCGAACAGG